CAAGUACUCCCUCCGUUCCGAAUUACUUGUCGCAAGUAUGGAUGUAUCUAGAUGUAUUUUAGUUCUAGAUACAUCCAUUUCUGCGACGAGUAAUUUGGAACGAAGGGAGUACAUG
rnacentral:pre_miRNA from 1 species